AGGGGUGACUAGUGACAGAGUGAGGGAAUGGGUGACUAGUGGCAGAGUGAGGGAGGGAAGAGAUGACUAGUGGCAAAGUGAGGGAGGGAAGGGGUGACUAGUGACAGAGUGAGGGGGGUGACUGUCACUAGUCACCCCAUCCCUCUCUCUGUCACUAGUCACUCCCUCCCUAACUCUGUCACUGUGUCACCCGCUCCCUCACUCUGUCACUGUGUCACCCGCUCCCUCUCUCUGUCACUAGUCACCCCAUCCCUCUCUCUGUCACUAGUCACCCCCU